rnacentral:rRNA from 1 species
UACGUAGGGACCAAGCGUUGUUCGGAUUUACUGGGCGUAAAGGGCGCGUAGGCGGCAGUUCAAGUCACUUGUGAAAUCUCCGAGCUUAACUCGGAACGGUCAAGUGAUACUGUUUUGCUAGAGUGCAGAAGGGGCAAUCGGAAUUCUUGGUGUAGCGGUGAAAUGCGUAGAUAUCAAGAGGAACGCCUGAGGUGAAGACGGGUUGCUGGGCUGACACUGACGCUGAGGCGCGAAAGCUAGGGUAGCGAACGGG